rnacentral:rRNA from 1 species
GAUGAACGCUAGCUACAGGCUUAACACAUGCAAGUCGAGGGGAAACGACAUCGAAAGCUUGCUUUUGAUGGGCGUCGACCGGCGCACGGGUGAGUAACGCGUAUCCAACCUGCCCAUCACUUGGGAAUAACCUUGCGAAAGUAAGACUAAUACCCAGUGACAUCCCACGAAGACAUCUGAAUGGGAUUAAAGAUUUAUCGGUGAUGGAUGGGGAUGCGUCUGAUUAGCUUGUUGGCGGGGUAACGGCCCACCAAGGCAACGAUCAGUAGGGGUUCUGAGAGGAAGGUCCCCCACAUUGGAACUGAGACACGGUCCAAACUCCUACGGGAGGCAGCAGUGAGGAAUAUUGGUCAAUGGGCGAGAGCCUGAACCAGCCAAGUAGCGUGCAGGAUGACGGCCCUAUGGGUUGUAAACUGCUUUUAUAAGGGAAUAAAGUGGGUCUCGUGAGACUUUUUGCAUGUACCUUAUGAAUAAGGACCGGCUAAUUCCGUG